rnacentral:RNase_P_RNA from 2 species
CGAGCCGGGCGGACGGCCGCGUGGAGUUCCCGCAAGGGGACUCCCCGAGGAACGUCCGGGCUCCACAGGGCAGGGUGGUGGCUAACGGCCACCCGGGGUGACCCGCGGGACAGUGCCACAGAAAGCAGACCGCCGGGGAUCUCGGUCCUCGGUAAGGGUGAAACGGUGGUGUAAGAGACCACCAGUGCCCAGGGUGACCUGGGCAGCUAGGUAAACCCCACCCGGAGCAAGGUCAAGAAGGAGACACCUCGGUGUCUCUGCGCGGAUGCUUGAGGGCUGCCCGCCCGAGUCCGCGGGUAGACCGCUCGAGGCCGGCGGCAACGCCGGUCCUAGAUGGAUGGCCGUCGCUCCAGGGUCCGCGAGGACCCUGGAGAACAGAACCCGGCGUACAGCCCGACUCGUCUG